rnacentral:rRNA from 1 species
UACGUAGGGGGCAAGCGUUAAUCGGAAUUACUGGGCGUAAAGCGUGCGCAGGCGGCUUUGCAAGACAGAUGUGAAAUCCCCGGGCUUAACCUGGGAACUGCAUUUGUGACUGCAUGGCUGGAGUGCGGCAGAGGGUAGUGGAAUUCCCGGUGUAGUGGUGAAAUGCGCAGAUAUCAGGAAGAACACCCGUGGCGAAGGCGGGUCUCUGGGACGGUACUGACGCUGAGACGCGAAAGCGUGGGGAGCGAACAGG